CGCGGGCGUUGUUUCCCACGCGGUGAAACGGGAUGAAAUCCCCACUAAGGGCUAAAUCGUUUCACCAUCUUGCAUGUGAUCCAAUCAUUUUGCAGUAAUUAAAUGCUUUGUCCAGCCUAGAAAACGUCAAAGUAAAACUCAUGUAUUGUAGAGGUUGUUUCAUUAUUCGUUUCAUUGAUGUCCUAUCAGCGGAUUUGUUUUGAAAACAGUGCAUUGAAACGGGCCAGGCUCUUCGCCGCUUUGGGGAUGCAGCCGACUGAGGAGUGACAUAGCUGCGCAAUAAAACCGCGUCAAGCAAAAGCAAGCGGGCCCAAAAAUACAGUGGGAGAACAAAACAAAUAGCAGGCCGAACUACAUGGAACCUGAACACAUAAUGCACAAGGUACGCCCAGAGAACAACAAGGCCACAACUACGGUACAGGUUCCACUAAAAUAACUACAAUCUAUACCAGAUAUAAAAGAGCCAAAAUUUCAGUCUGCCAAAUAUUUUCUUCUGCCUGAUCCUGUCCGUGUUUGGUUUACCGAUCGCCUCCUCGGUCCAACGUUUCUAGAAGGGCAAAAACAAAAUAAAAAACAUUCUAGGGUUCCUAAUGCAAAACCUCAUAUUACUCCGCUCCCGUCGCUCGCCUCUGUAGGCCCAAUCAGCCCAAUCGGAAUCGGUACGAUGGAAGAGAGAAAAAAGAAUAAAAUUUUUUUUAGGAUUCCCAAUGUAAAAUCUCUAAUUUACUUUUCUUUUAUUUUUUAAAUCGGCUGAAACUUAAUAAAUGCAUAGUAAUUCAUAGAAAAAUCUAAAAAUUAUAAAACAAAUUUUGUUCAGCUCCACAUAUGUAGAUCCAUGCAGUAAACAAAAAAUAUCACAAAUUUUAGUACAUUUUUUUUGGAAAUGUUUGCCUAUGCUUUUUACUGUAAAAUUAAAAUUGUAGUUAUCUUGCUCCAA
rnacentral:lncRNA from 1 species